GCUUGAGGGUCAACGGCCGCGGUAUUAUGACCGUGCAAAGGUAGCAUAAUCAUUAGUUUUUUAAUUGAGAGCUGGAAUGAAAGGCUUGUCAUGAGCUUAGCUGUCUUAAUUUUCUGAUUUAAAUUUAAGGGUUUUGUGAAGAUGCAAAAUUGUAUUUAUUAGACGAGAAGACCCUAUUGAGCUUUACGACUUUAAGGGGCUAGGGGUUCGGCACUGUUUAAGGGCGUUUUGUUGGGGCGAUAAAAAGCGUUUAGUUAGCCUUUAUAGAUUGAAGAUUUUGCGAGGAAAUAAGAUGAGACCCAUGUGUUGUGGGAGGCGGAGUAAGUUACUGUAGGGAUAACAGCGUAAUUAAGUUGGAGAGUACUAAUUGAUGAUUUAGUUUGCGACCUCGAUGUUGAAUUAAGAUACCCGUUAGCUGUAGGAGGGUAUUUGGGGGGUCUGUUCGACCUUGAAAUUCUUACA
rnacentral:rRNA from 1 species